GCCAUUGUAGUGUGAUGGUUUGGGCAUUAGACUAGAACUCUUGAGACCAGGGUUCAAAACCCUACUCAAGCA